rnacentral:rRNA from 1 species
UACGUAGGGUGCAAGCGUUGUCCGGAAUUAUUGGGCGUAAAGGGCGCGUAGGCGGCCUGAUAAGUAGGGGGUGAAAUCCUGCGGCUUAACCGCAGGGCUGCCUUCUAAACUGUCAGGCUGGAGCACAGUAGAGGCAGGUGGAAUUCCCGGUGUAGCGGUGGAAUGCGUAGAGAUCGGGAAGAACAUCAGUGGCGAAGGCGGCCUGCUGGGCUGUUGCUGACGCUGAGGCGCGACAGCGUGGGGAGCAAACAGG